rnacentral:miRNA from 1 species
UGUAUGUAUGUGUGUAUGUGUAUAUAUGUGUGUGUAUGUGUAAAUGCAUAUAUGUAUAUAUUUACAUAU